rnacentral:rRNA from 1 species
CACUGAAUGGAGGACCGAACCGACUUACGUUGAAAAGUGAGCGGAUGAACUGAGGGUAGCGGAGAAAUUCCAAUCGAACCUGGAGAUAGCUGGUUCUCUCCGAAAUAGCUUUAGGGCUAGCCUCAAGUGAUGAUUAUUGGAGGUAGAGCACUGUUUGGACGAGGGGCCCCUCUCGGGUUACCGAAUUCAGACAAACUCCGAAUGCCAAUUAAUUUAACUUGGGAGUCAGAACAUGGGUGAUAAGGUCCGUGUUCGAAAGGGAAACAGCCCAGACCACCAGCUAAGGUCCCAAAAUAUAUGUUAAGUGGAAAAGGAUGUGGCGUUGCCCAGACAACUAGGAUGUUGGCUUAGAAGCAGCCAUCAUUUAAAGAGUGCGUAAUAGCUCACUAGUCGAGUGACACUGCGCCGAAAAUGUACCGGGGCUAAACAUAUUACCGAAGCUGUGGAUUGUCCUUUGGACAAUGGUAGGAGAGCGUUCUAAGGGCGUUGAAGCAUGAUCGUAAGGACAUGUGGAGCGCUUAGAAGUGAGAAUGCCGGUGUGAGUAGCGAAAGACGGGUGAGAAUCCCGUCCACCGAUUGACUAAGGUUUCCAGAGGAAGGCUCGUCCGCUCUGGGUUAGUCGGGUCCUAAGCUGAGGCCGACAGGCGUAGGCGAUGGAUAACAGGUUGAUAUUCCUGUACCACCUAUAAUCGUUUUAAUCGAUGGGGGGACGCAGUAGGAUAGGCGAAGCGUGCGAUUGGAUUGCACGUCUAAGCAGUAAGGCUGAGUAUUAGGCAAAUCCGGUACUCAUUAAGGCUGAGCUGUGAUGGGGAGAAGACAUUGUGUCUUCGAGUCGUUGAUUUCACACUGCCGAGAAAAGCCUCUAGAUAGAAAAUAGGUGCCCGUACCGCAAACCGACACAGGUAGUCAAGAUGAGAAUUCUAAGGUGAGCGAGCGAACUCUCGUUAAGGAACUCGGCAAAAUGACCCCGUAACUUCGGGAGAAGGGGUGCUCUUUAGGGUUAACGCCCAGAAGAGCCGCAGUGAAUAGGCCCAAGCGACUGUUUAUCAAAAACACAGGUCUCUGCUAAACCGUAAGGUGAUGUAUAGGGGCUGACGCCUGCCCGGUGCUGGAAGGUUAAGAGGAGUGGUUAGCUUCUGCGAAGCUACGAAUCGAAGCCCCAGUAAACGGCGGCCGUAACUAUAACGGUCCUAAGGUAGCGAAAUUCCUUGUCGGGUAAGUUCCGACCCGCACGAAAGGCGUAACGAUUUGGGCACUGUCUCAACGAGAGACUCGGUGAAAUCAUAGUACCUGUGAAGAUGCAGGUUACCCGCGACAGGACGGAAAGACCCCGUGGAGCUUUACUGUAGCCUGAUAUUGAAAUUCGGCACAGCUUGUACAGGAUAGGUAGGAGCCUUUGAAACGUGAGCGCUAGCUUACGUGGAGGCGCUGGUGGGAUACUACCCUAGCUGUGUUGGCUUUCUAACCCGCACCACUUAUCGUGGUGGGAGACAGUGUCAGGCGGGCAGUUUGACUGGGGCGGUCGCCUCCUAAAAGGUAACGGAGGCGCUCAAAGGUUCCCUCAGAAUGGUUGGAAAUCAUUCAUAGAGUGUAAAGGCAUAAGGGAGCUUGACUGCGAGACCUACAAGUCGAGCAGGGUCGAAAGACGGACUUAGUGAUCCGGUGGUUCCGCAUGGAAGGGCCAUCGCUCAACGGAUAAAAGCUACCCCGGGGAUAACAGGCUUAUCUCCCCCAAGAGUUCACAUCGACGGGGAGGUUUGGCACCUCGAUGUCGGCUCAUCGCAUCCUGGGGCUGUAGUCGGUCCCAAGGGUUGGGCUGUUCGCCCAUUAAAGCGGUACGCGAGCUGGGUUCAGAACGUCGUGAGACAGUUCGGUCCCUAUCCGUCGUGGGCGUAGGAAAUUUGAGAGGAGCUGUCCUUAGUACGAGAGGACCGGGAUGGACAUACCUCUGGUGUACCAGUUGUCGUGCCAACGGCAUAGCUGGGUAGCUAUGUGUGGACGGGAUAAGUGCUGAAAGCAUCUAAGCAUGAAGCCCCCCUCAAGAUGAGAUUUCCCAACUUCGGUUAUAAGAUCCCUCAAAGAUGAUGAGGUUAAUAGGUUCGAGGUGGAAGCAUGGUGACAUGUGGAGCUGACGAAUACUAA